rnacentral:rRNA from 1 species
GAUGAACGCUAGCUACAGGCUUAACACAUGCAAGUCGAGGGGCAGCAUGAUUGAAGCUUGCUUCAAUUGAUGGCGACCGGCGCACGGGUGAGUAACACGUAUCCAACCUUCCGUACACUCAGGGAUAGCCUUUCGAAAGAAAGAUUAAUACCUGAUGGUAUCUUAAGCACACAUGUAAUUAAGAUUAAAGAUUUAUCGGUGUACGAUGGGGAUGCGUUCCAUUAGGUAGUAGGCGGGGUAACGGCCCACCUAGCCUACGAUGGAUAGGGGUUCUGAGAGGAAGGUCCCCCACAUUGGAACUGAGACACGGUCCAAACUCCUACGGGAGGCAGCAGUGAGGAAUAUUGGUCAAUGGACGAGAGUCUGAACCAGCCAAGUAGCGUGAAGGAUGAAGGUCCUACGGAUUGUAAAACUUCUUUUAUAAGGGAAUAAAACCUCCCACGUGUGGGAGCUUGUAUGUACCUUAUGAAUAAGCAUCGGCUAACUCCGUGCCAGCAGCC